UACGUAGGGUGCAAGCGUUAAUCGGAAUUACUGGGCGUAAAGCGUGCGCAGGCGGUUGUGCAAGACAGAUGUGAAAGCCCCGGGCUCAACCUGGGAACUGCAUUUGUGACUGCAUGGCUAGAGUACGGUAGAGGGGGAUGGAAUUCCGCGUGUAGCAGUGAAAUGCGUAGAUAUGCGGAGGAACACCGAUGGCGAAGGCAAUCCCCUGGACCUGUACUGACGCUCAUGCACGAAAGCGUGGGGAGCAAACAGG
rnacentral:rRNA from 1 species